ACAGCAGCACGUUGUAAAUUCUUUCCUUCACGUCUUCGGUCAGGACGUCCAAGCGGCCUGACCAGGCGCACAGCGCGGCCUGACGUCACAAGCGCAUUUUGAAUACAUCGUACCUGUAAAAAAAAUCUGUGAUUUCCUCAGGUGCGCAUACCUGGUACUCUUUCUCUCUCAUCUCAUUGGCUACUUGCUCGGUGAAUUUCACUUCCGGUGCAGGCGUUGGCUUCUGGGGGGCGGAACUACUGUGACUGAACCAGUCGGUGAAGGCUUCGUGGGCUUCCUGGAAGAACAUUUCAUCUUUCAUAAAAACUAAGUUCUCCAGGAAACUUCAACCGGGAGUGACAAACUUUGCCUCGCAUCUGGAGACGUGUGGUGCGAGAGAGCGAGGACUAAAGUCAUUGAUUACGGCAGACACCGACCAGAAAUCUUCUCAUGAUUGCGUUGGACUGCUUCAGGGCUUCAGCCCGGUGGGCGGCGUCAAACAAAAGCCAGUCGAUCACGUCGAUCUUCUUCUGGUCGUCCUAGUCUGCCUGUGGUGCGUGAACUCGGCGUCUUCUCGCUCUCUCACCGUCUCCACCACCAGUUUGGUAACAGCAGCCACAUCCAAACCUAUACAAACAAAAUGACUCCAAAUGUGCCCGUCUCCCCGCUGGCUGUUUAAAAUCCAGUUUCCGCUCUUACCGGCCUCCGUGGCGAGCUGCAAGCAGCGAGGACGCAACUCCGACUGGCUGACUGUCUCCAGGAAGGCGGCGUAUUGAGCCGUUGCCAGGUCGGCCGGCAGCUGGCUGACGUAGCUCGCCACCAGGUCCGUGCGCUGGUCGCGAAUGAGCGGGGUCACGUACGCCUUCAGCACAUCCACGCACACGUCCUCCUUCAACACAGACAUGUUACAAAUGACACCCACCCCCAAAAAAACCCAAAAUGUUUUGUUUUGAUGAACAAAAACAGCACUGUGUUAAAUAAACAUCACACCCUGUAGCAGUCAUCUGGAGGAUUCCGACUGCUUACCUUCAGGGCCAAACCCAAAGAGCGGAAGAAUAGCAGCAGGUGAGUCAUGAAGCGCAGCAGAUGCGAGGGGAGCGGCUUGGAUGCUGUCAGCCAAUCACCAAACUCCUCCAGAAGACCUGCAAGAAACAUCUUGCCACUUACGCGAGGUCCUCCGAGUGCUCACGGCUGAAGAGGAUGACGGGAUCUUACCGUCCAGGUCUCCCAGUAUGACAAAUUUCUGAAUGACAUGAUAGUGCUCUUGCGUCUCCUCCAGCACCCUCUGCACACACACAAACGCACGCAUCAAUCAUGUGGGUUCGGCGAUGUAACCUUCACAACAACCAAUCACAUUCAGUGAUUUACUUUUGAUUCUGACGCUUGGAGCUCCUCAAACACCUUUUCCAUAGUCCAGCUGAGGAGACAAGUGACAGCAUGAGGGACUUCCUUCGGUUGAAAAAGCUCACGACUGACUUUGUGUGUGUGUGUGUGUGUGUGUGUAUCGUACUUGGCUUCCAGGUAUUCCUGCGGCAACGUCUCCACUUCCUCGUGGGCCAUCCCCAACGACAUCAGAUGCUUUUCCACCAGCGUGUCCACCAUAACUCGGAAGUACGCCCACACGCAGUCCUCCCACGACUCACACACAGCUAGCACCUAACACACACACAGUUAGCUUAGCAUCUUAGCACACUGGAGCAAACCAGAAACGUGUGAUUGUCGCAUCUUACAGGUUUCAGAUUUCCACUCAGGCUAGCAUAGAUGGCUCGCUCAUAUCGGUUUAUCUGCUCCUGGAGAACACACACUGUGAUUGUUUGCUUCAUUCAAAAGUUGAAGACACUCAACUUUAGUGCACUUUUGGCAGUUCUUGAAAUUUCCUGCCAGUGUGUGCCCGCGUACCUCCUCGGCCAUCCUCCAGGUGCAGGCCUUCCAGAUGCCUCUUUGAGGAUUUCCUUCAACCGGCUGCAACUCUACGCUGCCUGCAGAGAGGAGACAAAUGUACUGAAGAGAGGUCAAGGACAUGACCGCGUGAGGCAGCGGGUCCACCAGGGGACGCUGCUGGCGGAGGGGAGCGUCCGGGUCCUGAAAGCAAACGUUAAACGUCACGCGCCUGGGGUCAGCUCGGGUGUCGUCAUGGCAACGGGCCUCACCAGCUCAGUGACCAGAGGGACGGCGAAGACAUUGGUGCUCUUGAUUCUCAG